GACGAACGCUGGCGGCGUGCCUAAUACAUGCAAGUCGAACGCAGGGGGGACGGGUGAGUAACCCGUUGGUAACCUCCCAUCAGAGGGGAUAACACUUGGCAACAGGUGCUAAACCGAUAUUGCUGGUUGGACCCGCGGUGCAUUAGCUAGUUGGUGAGGUAACGGCUCACCAAGGCCACGAUGCAUAGCAGACCGGAGAGUGUGAGCAGCCACACUGGGACUGAGACACGGUCCAGACUCCUACGGGAGGCAGCAGUAGGGAAUAUUCGGCAAUGGACGAAAGUCUGACCGAGCAACGCCGCGUGAGUGAAGAAGGUCGUCGGAUCGUAAAACUCUGUUGUUAGAGAAGCGGUAUCUAACCAGAAAGCCACGGCUAACUACGUGCCAGCAGCCGCGGUAAUUC
rnacentral:rRNA from 1 species